CCUACGGGAGGCAGCAGUGGGGAAUUUUGGACAAUGGGGGCAACCCUGAUCCAGCCAUUCCGCGUGAGUGAAGAAGGCCUUCGGGUUGUAAAGCUCUUUCGCAAGGGAAGAAAACUUAUGAUCGAAUAAAUCAUGAGGUUGACGGUACCUUGAUAAGAAGCACCGGCUAACUACGUGCCAGCAGCCGCGGUAAUACGUAGGGUGCGAGCGUUAAUCGGAAUUACUGGGCGUAAAGCGUGCGCAGGCGGUUUUGUAAGUCGGAUGUGAAAUCCCCGGGCUCAACCUGGGAACUGCGUUCGAAACUGCAAGGCUAGAGUGUGUCAGAGGGGGGUAGAAUUCCACGUGUAGCAGUGAAAUGCGUAGAGAUGUGGAGGAAUACCAAUGGCGAAGGCAGCCCCCUGGGAUAACACUGACGCUCAUGCACGAAAGCGUGGGGAGCAAACAGGAUUAGAUACCCUGGUAGUCCACGCCCUAAACGAUGUCAACUAGUUGUUGGUAGAGUAAAAUCUAUAAGUAACGUAGCUAACGCGUGAAGUUGACCGCCUGGGGAGUACGGUCGCAAGAAUUAAAACUCAAAGGAAUUGACGGCUGAGAGNGCGAGACGACGACGAGGGAGGAGG
rnacentral:rRNA from 1 species